rnacentral:rRNA from 1 species
UACGAAGGGGGCUAGCGUUGUUCGGAAUUACUGGGCGUAAAGCGCGCGCAGGCGGUUCGAUAAGUUGGGGGUGAAAUCCCCGGGCUCAACCCGGGAAUGGCCUUCAAGACUGUCGAUCUUGAGGACGAGAGAGGUGAGUGGAAUUCCCAGUGUAGAGGUGAAAUUCGUAGAUAUUGGGAAGAACACCGGUGGCGAAGGCGGCUCACUGGCUCGUUUCUGACGCUGAGGUGCGAAAGCGUGGGGAGCAAACAGG